GCAUUGGUGGUUCAGUGGUAGAAUUCUCGCCUGCCAUGCGGGAGUCCUGGUUUCGAUUCCCGGCCAAUGCA
rnacentral:tRNA from 1 species